AAUAACUUAUAUAUGCAUACAUUCUGACAUCCAUAUCUAAUUGUUCAACAAAAAUCUAACUGAGCAUACUACAUGAUGCAGCCUCAAAUAAUACACAAGACAAAGAGGGGGAGCACAAAACUAGUUACGUGAUAGAGUAGCAUGCAAUAGAUUAAACAUAGUACUAUGAAUGUAAACUGCAAACCUUGAAUUCUGUGUGCUUGUAAUGAAACUCGAAAAAAAACAGUACGCACAAGUGCCCUAC
rnacentral:lncRNA from 1 species